rnacentral:lncRNA from 1 species
CUCUUUUUAUCAGCAGACUGAGAGGAAAUAAGUGGAGUUGUGAAUCCAGCUACUUUCAUGGGAGAUGGACUCGAAGUUGAGAUAAGUCUUUUCCACUCGAACUAAUGGGACUGGAACAGCUAAUUCCCUUUCCUCUGUGAGGAUUUCAGAGCCUGAACAAACUCUCACUGACCCCAGGAGCAGUGUCUCCUCAGCCAUUCCAACCUUAGCAAUCAGAAGACAGAAAACAUCCAAAGACAGCAUGACAAUGAUAGGGAGACAUGGUGACAUGUUCAGUGUACCACAAGCAAAGAUCACCCUCUAGAGGUUUAAGGUGAUCUCAUAGGCUGCUUUCUAUUGCUGUGAUAAAGACCAUGACUAGAAACAGCUCAGGGAAGAAAGGGUUUAUUUGGUUUAUAGGUUAUAGACCAUUAUGAAGGAAAGUUGGGACAGGAAUCUAAAGGCAAGAACUGAAGCAGAGACCAUGGAGGAAUGUUCCUUAUUGGUUUGCUCCUCAUGGCUUGCUCAACAUGCUUUUCUUAUAGAACCCAGAAUCACCAGCACAGGGGUAGCCCUACCCACAAUGGGUUGGGCCCUCCCCCAUCAAUCACUAAUCCAAAAGAUACUCUACAGGCUUGCCUACAGCCAAAUCUUAUGGAGGCAUUUUCUUAAUUGGGGUUCCAUUUUCUAACAUGACCCUAGCUGAGUCAAGUCAAUAAAAAAAUAAAAAGCUAAGCAGCACAGUUGAGAUAGAGAAAUAGCUCAGGUUGAUAGUGUUCGCCUUGUAAGUAUGGGGAUCUGAGCUUAGGUAACCAGGAUCCACAUAAAAAAAAAAAAAAGCUGAGUGUGAUUGUGUAAGCCUGGAAAUCCCAGAGAUGGCAGGAAAUUAAGAUAGGCAGAUUCCUGGAAGCUUGCUGUCCUGCUAGCCUGCUUGGCAAAGUUCUAGGCCAGUGAGAGACCCUGAGUCAAAGAAAAUAAGAAAAGCACCAAAGGACUGACACUUGAGGUCUUCCUCUGACCUCCACAUGAGGGUCAUGCACACUUGAACACACAUGUGUACUCAUGAGCGUGUACCCCAAAAGUACACCAUGCAUGCACAUGGUGCUUUCAUAGGAAAGCCAGCUUAAUGUUAUCUUCCCAAGUGUCUUCACCUAGAACCCUCUCUGUGUGACAUCUGUAAACACCCAGGGUCCUGCAGAAUCUAGAAAAAGAAACAGUGAGAUAGAGACCAUCCGAUUCUCUAAGCCCCAAGCACCACCCACAAUUGCACCCUUUCUAGGGCCUAAGGAGCCAGCUGCUAUGCCCUGGCCUCUUCUUCCUUUGCUGUCAACACUAGCUGUUACUUCACCUACUUUGGCAGUCCAAAUAAUAUGCUCAGGUAUAGGUGAGGUGGCACAGGGGGUCCCUGGAGGGCAAGGCAUGAUUGCUGUCUUUGACCAGUCAGAGGCCACUGUUCCCUGUCUCUAGAAACUUAUUUGACUAACUCAGCACAGGAUGUCCCUGGAGGGCAAGGCAUGAUUGCUGUCUUUGCCCAGUAAGAGGCCACUACUCUCUGUCUCUAGAAACUUCUUUGACUAACUCUCAAAGCCACAGGCUCAGCUGGAGUUAGAAUCAAGAAAAAUGAAAGGCAAUAUGUAUUAAAAUUCAAACUUGGAAAUCCUGGUAACCGGGAGACAUGGCAACAGAUGGACCCGUGUCUCAGAGUGACAGUGAGCUGCUGUCUAGUGCAGGGACUCCCAGGUGGAUGGACUGUGUGCCAUGGGCCCCAGCUGUCCUCGUCUGGGAUGCAGACACCCUGCCUUCCUGUGCCUUUGGCUGCCGUUUCAGCCAUCACAAGCAGUUGACAGCUUGUCGGCACUCUGACACCCUUGAGAACCUUGCUGCUCUGGUCCUGCAGGUGGGGAGGUCUAAAACUCCUUUGGAGCUGCUUUACAGGUCAAAUGCUGGAAUUUCAAUGUCAGACUAUGUGACCAGCCCAACAGAGAGCUUGCUUUAGAUUCUGGUGAGUUAAUCUGUGUGUGUGUGUGUGUGUGUGUGUGUGUGUGUGUGUGUGUGAGAGAGAGAGAGAGAGAGAGAGAGAGAGAGGAGAAAGUGUGUGUGUGUGUGUGUGUGUGUGUGUGUGUGUGUAUCUGAGAAAGAGAAAGAGAGGAGAGAGAGUUUUGUAUUUGGGUAUGCGUGUGUGUGUGUGUGUGUGUGUGUGUGUGUGAGAGAGAGAGAGAGAGAGAGAGAGAGAGAGAGAGAGGAGAAAGUGUGUGUGUGUGUGUGUGUGUGUGUGUGUGUGUGUAUCUGAGAAAGAGAAAGAGAGGAGAGAGAGUUUUGUAUUUAGGUAUGCGUGUGUGUGUGUGUGUGUGUGUGUGUGUGUGAGAGAGAGAGAGAGAGAGAGAGAGAGAGAGGAGAAAGUGUGUGUGUGUGUGUGUGUGUGUGUGUGUGUGUAUCAGAAAGAGAAAGAGAGGAGAGAGAGUUUUGUAUUUGGGUAUGCGUGUGUGUGUAUGUGUGUGUGUGUGUGUGUGUGUGUGUGUGUGUGUGUAGGCUAGACAUUAACCUUGGUUACUGUUCAGGAGCCAUCCACCCUGCACUGGCCUGGGGCUCCCUAUUUUCCUUGGUUGUAUGGUCCAGAAUCUCAGUAAUCUGCCUAUCUCUACACUCUGAAAACUGGGAUUCUAAGUGCACACUACCACACCCAGCUUUUCUUCCUGGGGAUCAGACUCCAUUCUUCUCCCUGAUGCCCAGUGAUACUAUCACCAUUCAACAAGGACAAGUCAUGCUUAGGACACAAUGGAG